CCCUCAGGUUGCAGUCUUCCCCUUGCCAGCUUGUUUUGGUGCCUUCCAGGUUUAUUGGUCUACCCAUUACUCUAUUUAGUCUACUUCUAUGUGCCCAUUUGACCUCUGCCCUCUGUGCCUUAGCUCCCUUUGUUAUUGUUGCUUGUUUGGACUGAUCUCCUGCUGCCAACCUUCUGCAUUCCCAUUGAUCAAGUUAAGACUGUUAAGACCAUCCACACGUGCCUGUGUGUCUGCAGUUGGGUUCAAACUACUACUCUGCUGCAAACAAAAAUGAGCCAGAUAAUGACAUGGAGCCCUCAGAGAUGAUUCCAGAAUACCUUCUUGACUUGUUGCACAGCGUGACUGGAAGAAUGAACAACUGGCAGGGAGCUAAAACUCCCAGAGGACCCAAGAUGUCAGCCAGAUAGAACCAAGAUGGAGUAAGCCAUUGUUCUUCACAACAGGCUCCAAUUCAUCAAGUCCCGAAGCUCUGAUUGCCCUCUGGGCCAUUAGGCGGUGGAAAACAGGACCAGUACCACGGAGAGGGCCAGAAGUCAACCAUGGUGCAGAGAAAGGAAAUUAUAUCCCCUUUCUUUCUGAAAGCAAGCACAACACAAACACGUGGACUGUUGUUGACAUUCAGCAUGAGAUCAAUUAAGACACAAGGCUUGUCAUUUUGUUGACUUUUUCAUUGUGGCUCUAUAGAUUACAGCACUUUUUGAAGGUGAUCUGGAAAAAGCCGUUUCCAUUUAUUUUCAUCUGUCAAACUGUCAUCUGACAGCAAGGUGAAUAGUUUUCUUUGGUAACCAGUCUUCAGUCAUUAGCUGGUAUAUCAAACAUGUCAUGGAGGAUACAAGAAUGUCAAAUAAUGCCACAGUUGAGAUUUUCAGCCCCACUUAUCUGAAAAUUACAGGAGCUUGUGGCUGGAAAAAAUCUGAUGUAGAAGCAUUUUUUAUGUAAAUGAUCUUCUUGUUGGCGCUACAGAUGGCAGCCAUGGUGAACUGAUGUACUUGUUUGUACUUUAGAGGAAAAAUAAUUAAUAUGAUGAAUUAAUUCUGUGAAAGCCAAUUUAAGACUUCAUUUUUAAAUAGAAUCUCAGGAACAGCUGAAAGAUUUUAUUGCUGCCUUUGCUGUGAAACAAGGAGCAUUUUUUGUGAUAGACUUAGUGUAUGAAAGAAUAGAUAUUUUCUGUCACCUUUCUGUCUGACACUUCUGCCACAUGCUGAUGGAAUGCUGGUUUUCCCUGAGGGAAGACAAAAUGGACCAGCUUCAACCCUCCACUACAACAUUUUUGACUAAGGGACAGUAGACAAUCCAUCAAUGCAGGCUGAGCAAACUAAUCAAAAAGCAGAUCGACAAAAUAAAAAAAACUGUUAAUCCCCUUUUAUAUAAUUAAUUUGGCAUUGUUACAGGUAAACAUACAGUAACAAAAUCAAUUUAAUGCAACAUUGUUAAUCACUUUAGUAAAAUAACCUAAAGGCAACCUGAAAUGUUAAAAUCUUUUACUUCAUUAAAAGCAUCAGUGCAACACUGUAAAAGAGUCAUGCAUCCAAAUCCUUACUUAAGUAGAAGUAUUAUCAGCAAAAUGUACUUAAGGUAUAAAAAUAAUUCAUUAUGCAUUAAAAUGGUCCCUGUGAGCAUUGUGAUAUAUUAUUGUAUAUUACAUUAUUAGAUUGCUGAUACUGAUAUACAGUCCGGUAGUUCAGUCCAGUGGUUCCCAACAGCUGUCGGAUGAAUGUAGUUGAGUAAAAGGUACAAUAUUUCCCUCUGAAAUGUUGUGGAGUAGAAGUAGAAAGUAGCAUAAACUAGAAAUUCUCAAGAAAAGUACAAGUACGUCAAAAUAUUGUACUGAAGUACAGUACUUGAGUAAAUGUACUUAGUUACUUUCCACCACUGAAUAUAAGAAACCAGCAAUGUGACUGACUGAGAAGAUGCGUAAUCACCGGAUCAUCCAAUUUAUACUCGACUUCGUCCAACCUUUUUUGCACACAGCACAAUGCACCUAUGUCAACAAAAGGGGACGGGAGGUGUGUUUGGUCUUUAUGAUCCCUAAAUGUUACUGGUGGUUGCUGCAUUGCAGAGAAAUAAAGAUGGGGUGAUGGGGAGGAAAAAGGGAGAGAAGGAAAGAAGAGCAGAAGGGUGAAUAACGCAGAUGUUGAAAAGUGUGUGUGUGUGUGUGUUCUUGAUGGGAAACUUCUAUAAUGGCUACUGCUAUGGUCUCACAGCGUUAAAUGCAAGGAUGCCUGGAGGUUAUUAUCAUGCAUUGCUAUGACAAUGUAGGGUCCAAACACAACCCAGCAAAUCACUGUAGAAACAAAUUCCAUUAUCACUGCUCGUAUGCAUUCCUAGUUCAAUUUAAGAUAACAGAGGUUUGCGGUGAUUGAUUUUUGAAUGAAUGACUUCCUGGAGACAGAUGUGUAUUUGUGAUUCUGGGUUUUCUCACCACUAAAUGUAUUUGCAGAAUACUUUUUUUCUGGUGUCAACGGGGCAGGACCAGAAAGAGGUGGGUGCAAAUGGAAGAAAUGCCUCUUCCCUUUCCUUCUAUGUUUGCUUAUUUUCUUUUUAUGUCUUUUUAUAGAUUGCUAAGUCAUUAGCAUGACUCAUUCACACCAUCCCACAAACACACAUGCAGUACCACUUUGUGAAGAUCUUCUAUUGACUAAAAUGUCCUUAUCUCACUGAUCCAGCAACCUCCUUCACCUACAAAUGCACACACAGACAUCCACUACUCUAAAUCAAGUGUUUUCAGUCACUUUCUUCCAUGAAGUCAGCUUUCUCUUUGUCAUGGUCAAACAGUGCAUGACACAUACAAGACAAUAGUACACACACUGUAAGCUCAACUCGCUCUAUCUCUGCACCAGACAAAC